ensembl:lncRNA
AAGAGCAAAGCCCAUGAAGCCUCGUCCAGACCAGCAGGGAAAUUCCAUGUCAUUGGGUUCUGCCCACACAGGUGGGAGCCCUGCUCUGCGGUGACCCCAUCAUUCUGCGGUGUCCCCCACCCCCGUUCUGUGUCUCUCAGUGCCUCUGAGGCACUGUCAGAACGAUGACCCAUCGCAGCAGGCUCCGGGCUGGCUGAAGGUGCCGAUGCAAAUGUCAACACCAGCCCUGUCAUGAUGUCAUAAUCUAAAGGUCAGCAGCUGGGUCCCCUGGCAUUUGGGGUCUGCAGGGGUGGAUAGGUUCUGUCACUACCCCCAGCCACAGAGCCCAGACCACAUCCAUCCACUGGCUUCCAUGGGGCCUGGGACUGGGCUGGGCCCUGGUGGCCACUGGGAGACAGUGUUUGAGGACACAGAAGCCCCUUGGAUGGGUGCGGUAGCCGCCGGGCCUUCAGUGUGCUCUCUUAAGCGCUUUCUUCCCGUCCUCUAGAACGAGCUCACUUAGCCUGCCUCCCUUCCAGACUUGAGCACAGUGUGUAGAGCAACCACCGUCUCCCGAGAGGUGUUGGAGAAGACAGGACCACAGAAUGUGACCUAUGAAGGCUGAUAAACUCAAAAAAGGCAAGAAGCAGCUGCGCAGCACUGGAGAGGUGGUGCCUUGCACAGGAAGAGACAGGUGGGCUGGGAGAGAAGCUGUUUGCCCACGGUCUGCAAACUUGGAGAACUGCAGCCCGGACAGAACUGAAAGGGAGGAGGAAGAAGAAAUGCUAAAUAUAACUGCUCUCAUUCACUGAAGUUCACUGCACCAACUGAGGUUCAGCAAGGCGAAGUGUUGAUGGACUGGUCCUGUCUUCUUGUUCUGCACAAGGCUCACUACUUAAAAGCCAAUGUGUGUGUCAGGGGUAAAUUUUGGGAAUUGUUUUUUUUCUACAAAAAAAAACAAUUUUUU